rnacentral:snRNA from 1 species
GUACUCACUUCGGCAGCACAUAUUCUAAAACUGGAACAAUACAGAGAAGAUUAGCAAAGCCUCUGAGCAAGGAUAACAUACAAAUUCAUGAAGUGUUCCCUCAUUUA